rnacentral:rRNA from 1 species
GACGAACGCUGGCGGCGUGCUUAACACAUGCAAGUCGAGCGGUAAGGCCCUUUCGGGGGUACACGAGCGGCGAACGGGUGAGUAACACGUGGGUGACCUGCCCCCAGCUCUGGGAUAAGCCUGGGAAACCGGGUCUAAUACCGGAUAUGACUCCAUGACGCAUGUUGUGGGGUGGAAAGCCUUGUGCGGCUGAGGAUGGGCCCGCGGCCUAUCAGCUUGUUGGUGGGGUGAUGGCCACCAAGGCGACGACGGGUAGCCGGCCUGAGAGGGCGACCGGCCACACUGGGACUGAGACACGGCCCAGACUCCUACGGGAGGCAGCAGUGGGGAAUCUUGCGCAAUGGGCGAAAGCCUGACGCAGCGACGCCGCGUGGGGAUGAAGCUUCUCGGAGU